rnacentral:rRNA from 1 species
CAGUCGAACGCGAAAGCCCCGCAAGGGGCAAGUAGAGUGGCAAACGGGUGAGUAACACGUGGGUGACCUGCCUUCGAGCGGGGGAUAACGUCCCGAAAGGGACGCUAAUACCGCAUAACAUCCUGCCUUUGAAGAGGUGGAGAUCAAAGCCGGGGAUCGCAAGACCCGGCACUUGAAGAGGGGCCCGCGUCUGAUUAGCUAGUUGGUGGGGUAAUGGCCUACCAAGGCAACGAUCAGUAUCCGGCCUGAGAGGGCGGACGGACACACUGGGACUGAGACACGGCCCAGACUCCUACGGGAGGCAGCAGUGGGGAAUUGUUCGCAAUGGGCGCAAGCCUGACGACGCAACGCCGCGUGGAGGAUGAAGAUUUUCGGAUCGUAAACUCCUGUCGAAUGGGACGAAUAGGUUGCGGGUUAACAGCCCGUGGUCCUGACGGUACCGUUAAAGGAAACCCCGGCUAACUCCGUGCCAGCAGCCGCGGUAAUACGGGGGGGGUAAGCGUUGUUCGGAAUUACUGGGCGUAGAGGGCUCGUAGGCGGCCAACUAAGUCAUACGUGAAAUCCCUCAGCUUAACUGGGGAACUGCGUGUGAUACUGGAUGGCUUGGAUUUGGGAGAGGGAUGCGGAAUUCCAGGUGUAGCGGUGAAAUGCGUAGAUAUCUGGAGGAACACCGGUGGCGAAGGCGGCAUCCUGGACCAAUAUUGACGCUGAGGAGCGAAAGCCAGGGGAGCAAACGGGAUUAGAUACCCCGGUAGUCCUGGCCCUAAACGAUGAAUGCUUGGUGUAGCGGGUAUCGAUCCCUGCUGUGCCGAAGCUAACGCAUUAAGCAUUCCGC